UAUCUGCCAGUGCUGCAAAACCAUCGAUGGACCGUCCAUCGAUUUUGUUUGAGUCCGAUGGAUUAAAACAUCGAUAGUAUCGAUGGUUCCAUCGAAAAUAGCUCCAUCAUUCAAAAAUUAUUGAAAAUUCAUAGAAAAAAAUCAACUUUAUAAACAUUUAUACUUAUUCAUCACAAAACAGUCAAUCCUAAAAAUAAACUUUGGUUCAUAUAUAUCUUAUAUCUAAAAAACAAAAAGUUCGACUGUAAUUAACAAGUCUUAAAAUUUAACUUAAAAUUAAAAAACAAAGCUUGACUAUCUUUCACAAAAGUCUUGAGCUUAAAACUAAAAUUAAUUAUCGUGAGAUCCAUUAUGUGCACGCUUUAAAUGCUCUUGCAUAUUUGAUGUGUUCCCGCUCGUUUUAUAAUGCUGCCCACACAACAGGCAUUUCACAAAGUUUUUUUCUUGGCAUUUUUCGAAAAACUUCCAUACUUGAGAUUUCUCAAGGCGCAAUAUUUUCAGUGUGUACCGUAACAGCAAAUGAAGAUUCCUUAUUGGCGUCUGCAGGCGAAGAAGCACAUUUAUCUAAAAUCCAAAACAAUUAGAAAAAACGUGUUUGCUAUUAAUUGUAUGAAUCUUACCAGAUGGGAUCAAAAAAUUUUCCAUUUUCCGUGGAGGAACCGCCAACAAUUAAAUAAUGUGGUAAAUAGUUAUCUAUGUGCUAUAUGUUAAAAAAUAAAUCAAAUUGUUUGUGUAAAAUA